UCCUGCUCCCCCGCCUCCUGCUCCGCCGGCCGCCUCCUGCCCUGCCUCGUCGCGGUCCGCCGGCGGACUCCUGUCCCUCCCCGCCUCGCCGCGCUGCGCCGGCUUCCUUCUGCUCCGCCCCGCCUCACCGUGCUCCGCCGCCCGCCUCCUGCCCUGCCUCGCCUCGCUCCGCCGACGGCCUCCUGCCCCGCCCUGCCUUGCCACUCUCUGCCGGGAACCUCCUGCGCCGCCCCGUCUAACCAUGCUCCGCCGGCCACCUCCUGCCUACCACCCUGGAGAACGGCGACAGGCGGCUGCCAACGGACGGAUACAGGCGGAGGAGGGUCAGAGAGGCGCGCAGAAGGCCAAUGAGGUUGGGGGCCACCGGAUCCAGAGUUCGGGAUGGCGCCAUGGUUGCUCGGUGAGCUCCUGCAAGGGAACAUGGUGGGGCGCGAUUUAAAGGGAGAUGUGAGAGAGAAGGAAAAGGGGGUGGGGCAGAGAUUCUGCUGCUCACCGGCGAAUAUCGAGCGCUUGGGCGCCAUGCGCGGCUGCGGGCGAUUGUGGACACAGCCUUAGGCAAGCCGUUGCUGCUUUCGAGUGCGAGUGUCGCUCCGUCGAGUCCGACGGAUGAAGGAUUAGCGGAGGGGCGGGCUGUGGAGACUUCUGGGAGGCUAGUGGAGGCAUUGGCCUUGUCGGAAGGCCGGAGGAGCCGACCGGUGGCGGCUCGCCAUGGCUGCACUGCACGGGAGUGGAGGCAGGCGUUCGAUGGCCAGUCCGUGUGGAUGCAGAUGAGACCCAGCCAUGAUGAACAAAUAGCAGCAAACUGUGUUGGUCUUUUCCUCCUAUCUGAAUUUUCUGCAGAUGGGAUCCAGCCGUGAUAAACAAACAGCAGUAGGCCGUGCUGCUCUUUUAUCUAUCUAAAUUUUGUGCAACUCAGAUCCACCAAGGAGAGAUGGAUGAGGCCGUGCUGCUCCUUUCAUCUAUCUCAAUUGCUAUAUGAAAAGCUCUGAAUUUCCAAUCAGCCAUGGGGGACCGAUCAGAAGCGAGGUCCUUGCUGCUCGUGUCUUCUUCAGCUUGCCAGCGACAGGCAGGAAUCCGGUCAGUGGCCGCUACAUAAGUACAGAUUACGGAAGAGACCUAAGUCCGACCACCGCCCAGCUCCCAGCUACUCGCUACAAUUCGCACAUCCACCUCAAUUUGGAUAAGCGCUCCAGGCGAGGUGUCCCCAGCUAGGAGCAGAUCGGGAUCCCAUGGCUCCACCUCUCCACGGGCGUUGGAUCUUUGCCCCCCAGCCGUGGCCACUCCUCAGGUUUGCUGGCUAACGUCACGCCGGUUCCAAGGCAGGUUUCUCCUAGGGGAACCUCCUAGGGUGUGUCCUACGAGGUAGAAGUUUCUUGCUCGGUUCCUAUUGUUUGGGAUGAUCCAGAUGAGAUAGUGCAUCAGUUGCUCACAUGAAGAAACCAUCACAAUGAGAUUCCUCUUCUAAUCUGGCAAGUACUAUUCCUACUUGACUGACGAACAUCGUAUCUGUAGUAUCUCUCUUUGUGCACUGUUGGUUAUGUUGUAU